CCUACGGGUAGCAGCAGUGGGGAAUAUUGCACAAUGGUGGAAACCCUGAUGCCGCGACGCCGCGUGAGCUAUGCAGUAUCUCGGUAUGUAAAGCUCUAUCAGCAGGGAAGAAAGUGACAGUACCUGACUAAGAAGUCCCGGCUAACUACGUGCCAGCAACCGCGGUAAUACGUCGGGGGCAAGCGUUAUCGGGAUUAACUGGGCGUAAAGGGAGCGCAGGAGGCACGGCAAGUCUGGUGUGAAAACCCGGGGCUCAACCCCGGGACUGCAUUGGAAACUGCCGGGCUGGAGUGUCGGAGGGGUAAGCGGAAUUCAUAGUGUAGCGGUGAAAUGCGUAGAUAUUAGGAGGAACACCAGUGGCGAAGGC
rnacentral:rRNA from 1 species